CUACAGGCAGGGAGACAGGUGGGUGGGUAAGAUGGGACUGCAGGCAGGGAGACAGGUAGGUGGAUAGGAUGGGACUACAGGCAGGGAGACAGGUGGCUGGGUAGAAUGGGACUACAGGCAGGGAGACAGGUGGGUGGAUAGGAUGGGACUACAGGCAGGGAGACAGGUGGGUGGGUAGGAUGGGACUACAGGCAGGGAGACAGGUAGGUGGAUAGGAUGGGACUACAGGCAGGGAGACAGGUAGGUGCGUAGGAUGGGACUACAGGCAGGAGACAGGUAGGUGGGUAGGAUGGGACUACAGGCAGGGAGACAGGUACGUGGGUAGGAUGGGACUACAGGCAGGGAGACAGGUAGGUGGGUAGGAUAGGACUACAGGCAGGGAGACAGGUGGGUGGGUAGGAUGGGACUACAGGCAGGGAGACAGGUACGUGGAUAAGAUGGGACUACAGGCAGGGACACAGGUAGGUGGGUAGGAUGGGACUACAGGCAGGGAGACAGGUGGGUGGGUAGGAUGGGACUACAGGCAGGGAAACAGGUGGGUGGGUAGGAUGGGGCUACAGGC
ensembl:lncRNA